GAUGAACGCUGGCGGCGUGCCUAAUACAUGCAAGUCGAGCGAACGGACGAGAAGCUUGCUUCUCUGAUGUUAGCGGCGGACGGGUGAGUAACACGUGGAUAACCUACCUAUAAGACUGGGAUAAUUUCGGGAAACCGGAGCUAAUACCGGAUAAUAUUUUGAACCGCAUGGUUCAAAAGUGAAAGACGGUCUUGCUGUCACUUAUAGAUGGAUCCGCGCUGCAUUAGCUAGUUGGUAAGGUAACGGCUUACCAAGGCAACGAUGCAUAGCCGACCUGAGAGGGUGAUCGGCCACACGGGAACUGAGACACGGUCCAGACUCCUGCGGUAGGCCGCAGUAGAGAAUCUUCCGCAAUGGGGGAGAGCCUGACAGAGCAACGCGGCGUGAGUGAUGAAGGUCUUCGGAUCGGAAAGCUCUGUUAUUAGGGGAGAACAUAUGUGUAAGUAACUGUGCACAUCUUGACGGUACCGGGUCAAAAAGCCACGGCUAACUACGUG
rnacentral:rRNA from 1 species